UACGGAGGAUCCAAGCGUUAUCCGGAAUCAUUGGGUUUAAAGGGUCCGUAGGCGGUUUUGUAAGUCAGUGGUGAAAGCCCAUCGCUCAACGGUGGAACGGCCAUUGAUACUGCAAGACUUGAAUUAUUGGGAAGUAACUAGAAUAUGUAGUGUAGCGGUGAAAUGCUUAGAGAUUACAUGGAAUACCAAUUGCGAAGGCAGGUUACUACCAAUAUAUUGACGCUGAUGGACGAAAGCGUGGGGGAGCGAACAGG
rnacentral:rRNA from 1 species